rfam:Rhizophagus irregularis DAOM 181602 strain DAOM 197198 GLOINscaffold_595_Cont599, whole genome shotgun sequence.
GCCUCCAUGGCGCAACCGGCUAGCGCGUUCGGCUGUUAACCGAAAGGAUCCUGGUUCGAAUCCAGGUGGGGGCG